GAGGAAGUAUGCAGUGGCUGCAUGUCCCUUUAAAAAAUAGGGAUUCACAGGUUCGAUUCCUGUCAUCCUCA
rnacentral:tRNA from 1 species